rnacentral:rRNA from 1 species
UAGGGAAUAUUGCACAAUGGGGGAAACCCUGAUGCAGCGACGCCGCGUGAAGGAAGAAGUAUCUCGGUAUGUAAACUUCUAUCAGCAGGGAAGACAAUGACGGUACCUGACUAAGAAGCCCCGGCUAACUACGUGCCAGCAGCCGCGGUAAUACGUAGGGGGCAAGCGUUAUCCGGAUUUACUGGGUGUAAAGGGAGCGUAGACGGCAUGGCAAGUCUGAAGUGAAAAGCCCGGGGCUCAAACCCCGGGAGCUGCUUUGGAAAUCUGUCAGGCUAGAGUGCUGGAGAGGUAAGUGGAAUUCCUAGUGUAGCGGUGAAAUGCGUAGAUAUUAGGAGGAACACCAGUGGCGAAGGCGACUUUCUGGACUGUAACUGACGUUGAGGCACGAAAGUGUGGGGAGCAAACAGGAUUAGAUACC